CAAUCAGCACCUGACUAAGGCCGGGUCGAACGUCAUGGUUUAGCAGGUAACGUAAAUACUGGACAAAGGAAGAAAACUCGACAAGUUAAAAAAAAAGAUUUUAAUUUGUUUAACACUAUAAAUCUGUCAUGAUAGAUCCCGGCCACGUUAGAUAUGUAGACAAAGUCCGUUAUCGUCAAGGAGCUGAGACGUGAAAAAUGAAUAUGAUUUGUUACCGUGGAAUGUUCUAGAAAAAGACUGGCCCACAUUCGCUCUCCGAGGAAUAUGAAGAAUGGGGCUGUGUAACGUUCACAGUGGCAGCACUGCAACCUAAUGGAUGCCAUGCCUUUAACACCUAAAGAAGAGGGAAGUUGGAAGAAGGAUGAGCUGAGAUGAGCCUACGUGUUUGCUGUUCUACCAAAAUAACAAGUGACAACGUCGGGCUGUGUGAUGUCCCUGAGGAUCAGAGGGAGGGAGGACAGGAGUGAAGACUGGAACAGCCUUCACAGCCCUGUGAAAGUGUGCGGUGCAGAACAACAGUGGCCGGAGUCAGAAGUCAACUAGUUCCUGGAAUAUGUUCCGUGUUCCUGGAUUUACAACAUGCGUCUAAUCCUUCCAGAAUCACGUGGGAGCUGCAGCCAAGUUCUCAGAAAAAGCUCAACACAAACUACCAACAUGAGAUAUCACCGGACCUUGAGCCAUCCUGCAUAGAAGAAGAACUGCAGCAGAGUGAAGAUGGGAACAUACAGGUCCAGGUCGUGACCUGGAUAACCUUGACCUGGGUCCAGGAACUGACGCCCGAUAAGACACACCAGGAAAAAACUGUACACCGCCAGAGUCACCACCUAAGACCAGAAGAAGAAGCAGCAGUUUGAGUGUGUGAUCGUCCCUGACCCGGCCCUCACACCGGGCCACAGCAGCCAGGUUAGUGAACCACACACAGGGAAUCCAGUAUUUGUUGAAGCGGGAAUGAAGUCCCUCAAACUUCUUGCGCUCCUCUUUGCUCAUGAAUCCUGUUGAGACGUAGAGUAAAGACUAACACUCAUGUAAAUGUACGUCCUCCACCCUCCCCACCGCCCUUUCAUUAGUCUGUUCAAACAUGUAAAGGAUAUGUAGAGAACCAGAAGCUCAUCGUCAUCAAUAUUAACAUAUAAACUGCCACUGAUGAGGAACACCUCCUUGCACAGGAGAAUCAAGUUCAUCUGCUCUGGUUGAACAGUUCCAGCAAACAUGCCCAUGUGGUCUGCCUAAGGUCUGCGAUCCAAAUGUUUUUUAUUAAAAGAAACGUCCUUGCCUUCUGUAGAUAAAUGUUUUGGCGUUUGGUUUUUUUUUUUUGGAAUAGGCUUCUGCUUCUUUACUUACUUUAAACAUGUAGAAGAAGUCUGAAAAAAAGGGGUAAAAAGUACUACAACAUUUGCACAGUACUUUGUGCUACACAGAAAAACAAGUCCAAAUUUUAUGCCUGCUUUCUAAAGACCAAUGGUUUUGAGGGGGAGUUUUUGUGGGAAACCAAACGGUUUUUGUACCAGAACUGCUUGUGAUUGCAAGUCGAGAUAAAACAGUGUAAAAAUACAUUCAACACUUUGUAGUCCGCCCACAUUUACUGUACGUGCAGUAUGUAGAGUAUCAUCUGUUCUAGUCAAGGAUGUGUCUGUCUCUCUGCUGUAGAGAAUGUACAGACACACAUUCACGUGAUGACACGUGUGACUCAUUCACAGUUUCUGUCGUUUCCUGACUCAACUGUGGGACAGAAAAAUACCUCCAAAUGUUUUUUGUUUUUGUCUGAUCCAGGUGUGAAAGGUCACACACUCAUCACCAGCACAUCUGCUCUUUAGUUUGUUGAUACAGGAAAUCAGAGUGGAUACAUGUGUGUUUAGUUACUUAAAAUCACCCCGGGUGUUUCCACACUCACCAGCCUCCACCACAUGGUCCAUGGUGGGGAAGCGUUUGAACACGGCCGUGCUGACUGAGCGGAGGAUGAGCAGAGCUGACAGGCUGGCGUAUCGCAUCAUGGUGCGUCUCAGCAGACGUCCACGUUCGUCACUGCCGUGAACGCCUCCAGAAAGGACACACAUGAGCCGGUCCGGGAGGGGAAUGUUGGUGUACUGGUUCCACCAGCGGUUCACCACCAGUGUCACGUAGAACCCUGGAACCAAGGCGAGAUAACACAGUUAGAGGAUGUUUGUAGAACUGGCUUCUCUGUGGUUUUUCUUCUGAGGACUAAACACACUAGUGCCCUGCAAAUAUUACAGUAUGACUGGGUUUUAGAAGACCAGCUUAUGCAUAAAUAUACACAACUGCUCUUGUCGACAAUAUAAACACCUCAGAAAUGACUUAAGGCUAGGCUACAGUGUAAACUGUCAAAAGUUAGCAGAAAAACUAAAACCUUGGCAUUUGAAUGUUAAAUGCUAAAAUGAUUCCUAACAUUUCACAAGGAUUGGCAUGAACACAAAAGGCCAAGGCUAUUGAUUUAUCAAUAUAAUCAACUGCAAAACAUUAUAAUCAACUGCAAAACAUCUAUAAGUUGCAGUAGCUACAGUGUACAGACAAUAUUUGACUAAUUUCCUUGGAAUGCUAUGGUUUUCAAAUAACAAAUCCAAAGUUUGUUCUACAGUGAUAAGAGAAAUUAGAGAAGUCAUUCUUUCUAAUCACCUCCAGCAGCAGAAGAACAACUGUAGAUAUGUGUGUGUGUGUUUGUGUAUCUCCAGUGUUUGUGUCCACGACAACUUUGUGAUCUUACACAGUGUCACGCACACUUUCUGCUGCUGACUCAUCACAUCCAACCACAAACCUCAUCAUGGACUGAUAAGUCUGAUAUCACACUGCAGAGCAGAACAUCUCCAAACCUCACCCAGAACAAAGGACAUGGGGAUCAGACUGGCGUAGUGGUUGCAGUAAAUGGCCAGUUUUUCAAAGUAUCUCUUCUGGUCGUCAUGGAGGAGGAAUCUGAAAGAGUGGAACGACACAGAUUUUUUUUCCAUUGGUACUGUAUUCUUCAUCACGUCCUGAAGCCCCUCUUGAGUCUCUGCUCACCUGUAGGUGGUGCUGAUGGCAGCGUACAUGGCGAAGAAGGCCAGGAACUCCUUGUACAGAACCUUGUAGAUGCUACCUUUCCAGACCAGCAGCAGUUUGGAGAAACCACAGAAUCGGGCGUUUGCCACUCUAGCUGUGUAGGUGACCGUCAUUGGUUACAGUCUGUGGACUCAGAUGCUGAGGAGAAAGGAGGUGCACUGGAAAAUAACCAGCACACCUGUGGGUGGAAGACCUGAUGUGAGUUCAUGAAUGUGGAAGUGAAAAGAAUCAGAUGGAGUUUGCAACUUUGACUUUACAAUUGUCCCAAAUAGUUGGCUCACAUAUUUUUUUUAAUAAAUAAGAAACAAAAACCGAUCAGAUUUAAAUAAAACAAAGACUAAUUAACAUAAUCAAUGAUUAGACUUGAAUCUAAUAUCGGUUUAACAGCACCUACACAUACCUUGGUCUAACUGAUUUUUGAGGUCCCACUGGUCCAGACAAAUGUGUGAGAUGUUUACAUGACUCCAAACUGACUGUCAGUGUAGUUUAUUUCAAAGGAGGUUCAAACCUUACCUGAGGUGUGGUUUGAUUGGACCUGAUGGAUGUGACCGCUGAUCAGCGUGUCUUCCUACCGCUGCGGAUUGCUGGAUUGGUUCUGUGGUGUUGAGUCCGUCCGUCCACGGGUCCGUGCGCCCCGGUGCUAAAUCCCCCAAAUUGAUGAGGGACAAAGGGUGAGAAGGAGCUCGUUAGCGAGGCCCCCGACCGUGUGAGCUCGGCUCGGUGAUUCGGUGAUGGACUGCAAGCGACAGGCCACAGCGGCGGAGCAACAGGAGCGCAGGGCGCAGUGAGCAAUUAUGGCACAGCAGCAAGUGAAGCGUGGACUGACGCUCUUUUAAGUGAUAUGGAAGCAGCGGAGUCUGAUCUGACGAUUAGUGGUCUUUAAAUCGCUGUUGUUUUGGUUUAAACAACAGAUUAUCUUAUAGUACAGUUAUCAAAGCAGUGGUUUAAAUGUGUUCUACAGUUGGCCACAAGAUGUCCCAGGAAGGUGGGCUUAAUGAAAACACUAUUCACAGAUUUGAAUUAGUAUAUAUACAAUUAUGAAAAGGCACAACUAGUAAAACUUAAAUAAAACAAAUAGUAUAGUAAUAAACUAAAAAUAAACAAGGAUUAGCUAAAAGUGGCUUCUAAUGGAAAUUACUAAUGUUAUCCUCCUCUGAGCCUGAACUCAUUUGUUAAUCGGACAACAGCUGCAUCAUACUUUAGAACUUACAAGUCACUCCUGAUCUCCUGGCACCGUUUUAUAUCAACAGGGUCAGUGCACCUCAAUAUAUCAUCAUCACAUUAGUGCAAAGUCUGUACCUUAAUCCAUUUCAAACAAUGAUUCUCACUGUCUUCAUAAAUCCAUCCUGCUCCACACUAACGUGCUUACUCGCCCAACAUGACUUCCACAUACUGUACCACAACCCCAUUAGGGCAUCUUUUAUUUAUUUAAGUUAUUUUUACUGAAACUGCUGCAGUUAUGUCAAUAACUGUACUUAGGCUCUAUCUAGUGGGAUGCUGGGUGAUCUGACUCGUGUGUGUGGCUGUGUACUAUGCAUAUUACAAUUAAAUUGAAGGACCAUUGCAGUACUGUUCCAUUGUACAGCUUGGCUUUGGUUGAUAAAAUAUUCAAAUGAUCUUAUUACUUUAAAAAAGAAGUGAAAGACAAUCAUUUAAAACCAAUGGCUCUUUGCACUAUAUUGCUGAAUUUUAAUCUAUUACUCUUUUACUUUUCUCAGGUGCUGUUCAUUUCUCCAAAGUUGAUGGAAACAUCAGAGGAAUAAUACCAUCGUCAUACUCCAGGUGACGGUACCUGGUCUAAAUAUUUGGACUGUAUCUUAUGACGGGCUUCACACAUCUUGCACGGCCUCUCCCCGUCAGGGAAAACCAGUUGGUUGACGAUGAUGUUGUGCGUGUCGAUGCUGCACUUGGCCAGCUCCUGGAUCAGCCGCUCCGUCUCAUACAAGGACAGGAACUCAGCGAUGCAAACACAAAUGAAGGUGGUCUGUUCCUGCAGGUCAGAGGAUGCAGGGAGGCGUGUCAGUAAAUCAGCAUGCAUUAUGGGAGGUUUCAAGCUGGUAUGACACCUUAGUUAAAAAAGUGUAGCACAACUGUGUGACUCACUGGGUCUUUGAACUGCUCACUGACUGAGCGAAUGACAGGCAGAGUUUCUUCAAGUUUGGAGGCGAGCUGGUCUGCGUUCAUAUCACCCAGACCCAGCAUGUUACACAUCUGUAAUGA